AGGCGGGGCUCCCCUCGGCUUCAGGCUGUCCUUUCCCCUGCGGCCUCUGCUCUGGCUGGAGUACGCGGGCCGAGCUCCAGACACGUGCGGAGAGGCCAGCCCGUGGGCCUUGGACAGAUGCAGCCCCAGGAUGACUUGAAAGUAGGGCAUCCUUGGCCCUCCUGAAGAGAGGAAAUUUAUGGCAGGUGGACCGUCUGUCCGGCAUUCUCAGAUGCCUUUACCUGAGUGAGAAAUCUGCCUCCAUCAGAACCUUCAGAUGUCUGACAGCCCAGACCUAUGUGACACCGGGAUAGAGAAAGAGAGUGUAA